rnacentral:rRNA from 1 species
UGGGGAAUAUUGCACAAUGGGCGAAAGCCUGAUGCAGCAACGCCGCGUGAGUGAUGAAGGCCUUCGGGUUGUAAAGCUCUGUCUUUUGGGACGAUAAUGACGGUACCAAAGGAGGAAGCCACGGCUAACUACGUGCCAGCAGCCGCGGUAAUACGUAGGUGGCAAGCGUUGUCCGGAUUUACUGGGCGUAAAGGAUGCGUAGGCGGAUUUUUAAGUGAGAUGUGAAAUACCCGGGCUUAACUUGGGUGCUGCAUUUCAAACUAGGAAUCUAGAGUGCGGGAGAGGAGAAUGGAAUUCCUAGUGUAGCGGUGAAAUGCGUAGAGAUUAGGAAGAACACCAGUGGCGAAGGCGAUUCUCUGGACCGUAACUGACGCUGAGGCAUGAAAGCGUGGGUAGCAAACAGGAUUAGAUACCCUGGUAGUCCACGCCGUAAACGAUGAGUACUAGGUGUAGGAGGUAUCGACCCCUUCUGUGCCGCAGUUAACACAAUAAGUACUCCGCCUGGGAAGUACGAUCGCAAGAUUAAAACUUAAAGGAAUUGACGGGGUCAUAGCUG